rnacentral:rRNA from 1 species
UACGAAGGGGGCUAGCGUUGUUCGGAUUUACUGGGCGUAAAGCGCACUUAGGCGGGUCGUUAAGUCGGGGGUGAAAUCCUGGAGCUCAACUCCAGAACUGCCUUCGAUACUGGCGACCUAGAGUCCGGAAGAGGUGAGUGGAACUCCUAGUGUAGAGGUGGAAUUCGUAGAUAUUAGGAAGAACACCAGUGGCGAAGGAGGCUCACGGGUCCGGUACUGACGCUGAGGUGCGAAAGCGUGGGGAGCAAACAGG